GGUCAAGUUUAUAAGGGCACAGGGUGGAUGCCUUGGCACUAGGAGCCGAAGAAGGACGUUGUAGCCUGCGAUAAGCCUCGGGGAGUUGGCAAACGAACCGUGAUCCGAGGAUGUCCGAAUGGGGAAACCCCGCACGAGUCAUGUCGUGUGACCCGCACCUGAAUAUAUAGGGUGUGUGGAGGGAACGGCGGGAAGUGAAACAUCUCAGUACCGCCAGGAAGAGAUAUUCCGUGAGUAGUGGCGAGCGAAAGCGGAUCAGGCCAAACCGUGUACGUGUUCAAGCCGGCAGGCGUUGCGUGCACGGGGUUGUGGGACCUUUCAGCUGGUUCUGCCGAUCCAGCAGGGAGUCAGAAAGUCGCGUCAUAGUCGAAGGGCAUUGAAAGGCCCGGCACAGAGGGUGUGACCCCCGUAGACGAAAUGGCGUGGCCUCCCGAAGGGGAUCCCAAGUAGCUCCGGGCCCGAGAAACCUGGAGUGAAUCUGCACAGACCACUGUGUAAGCCUAAAUACUACCUAGUGACCGAUAGCGGACAAGUACCGUGAGGGAAAGGUGAAAAGUACCCCGGGAGGGGAGUGAAAUAGUACCUGAAACCGUGUGCCUACAAUCCGUUGGAGCCUCCCUAGCAGGGGUGACAGCGUGCCUUUUGAAGAAUGAGCCUGCGAGUUAGUGGUACGUGGCGAGGUUAACCCGUGUGGGGAAGCCGUAGCGAAAGCGAGUCCGAAUAGGGCGAUUCAGUCGCGUGCUCUAGACCCGAAGCGGAGUGAUCUAGCCAUGGGCAGGUUGAAGCGCGGGUAAGACCGCGUGGAGGACCGAACCCACCAGGGUUGAAAACCUGGGGGAUGACCUGUGGUUAGGGGUGAAAGGCCAAUCAAACUCCGUGAUAGCUGGUUCUCCCCGAAAUGCAUUUAGGUGCAGCGUCACGUGUUUCUUGCCGGAGGUAGAGCUACUGGAUAGCCGAUGGGCCCCAACAGGUUACUGACGUUAGCCAAACUCCGAAUGCCGGUAAGCCAGAGCGUGGCAGUGAGACUGCGGGGGAUAAGCUCCGUAGUCGAGAGGGAAACAGCCCAGACCACCAGCUAAGGCCCCUAAGCGUAUGCUAAGUGGGAAAGGAUGUGGAGUUGCACAGACAACCAGGAGGUUGGCUUAGAAGCAGCCACCCUUGAAAGAGUGCGUAAUAGCUCACUGGUCAAGUGAUUCCGCGCCGACAAUGUAGCGGGGCUCAAGUAUACCGCCGAAGCUGUGGCAUUCACAUAUCAGCUCAGCGCACCUUUUGGGUGUGUUCAGGCGUGUGGAUGGGUAGGGGAGCGUCGUGUGGCGAGUGAAGUCGCGGGGUAACCCAGCGGUGGACGCCACACGAGUGAGAAUGCAGGCAUGAGUAGCGAAAGACGGGUGAGAAACCCGUCCGCCGAAUGAUCAAGGGUUCCAGGGCCAGGCUAAUCCGCCCUGGGUAAGUCGGGACCUAAGGC
rnacentral:rRNA from 1 species